ACUGCAUUGUGAGCACUUAAAG
rnacentral:miRNA from 1 species